UACGUAGGGUCCAAGCGUUGUCCGGAUUUAUUGGGCGUAAAGAGCUCGUAGGCGGUUCCGUAAGUCGGAUGUGAAAACUCAGGGCUCAACCCGGAGGACGCCAUCCGAUACUGACGGUGACUGGAGUCUGGUAGGGGAUCACGGAAUACCUGGUGUAGCGGUGAAAUGCGCAGAUAAUCAGGUGGAACACCGAUGGACGAAGGCAGUGGAUCUGGGCCAGUAC
rnacentral:rRNA from 1 species